rnacentral:rRNA from 1 species
UACGUAGGGAGCAAGCGUUGUUCGGAUUUACUGGGCGUAAAGGGCGCGUAGGCGGCCUAUUAAGUCAGCUGUGAAAUCUCCGAGCUUAACUCGGAACUGUCAGCUGAUACUGAUGUGCUAGAGUGCAGAAGGGGCAAUCGGAAUUCUUGGUGUAGCGGUGAAAUGCGUAGAUAUCAAGAGGAACACCUGAGGUGAAGACGGGUUGCUGGGCUGACACUGACGCUGAGGCGCGAAAGCGUGGGGAGCGAACAGG